CAGCGCCGCGGGAAUACGUAGGGUGCGAGCGUUGUCCGGAAUUAUUGGGCGUAAAGAGCUCGUAGGCGGCUUGUCGCGUCGAAUGUGAAAGCCCGGGGCUUAACUCCGGGUCUGCAUUCGAUACGGGCAGGCUAGAGUGUGGUAGGGGAGAUCGGAAUUCCUGGUGUAGCGGUGAAAUGCGCAGAUAUCAGGAGGAACACCGGUGGCGAAGGCGGAUCUCUGGGCCAUUACUGACGCUGAGGAGCGAAAGCGUGGGGAGCGAACAGGAUUAGAUACCCCGGUAGUCCCUGUCUCUUAUACA
rnacentral:rRNA from 1 species